GGAGUCUCCAGAGCAGCGCGCGGGGCAGACCUCCUCGGGUCCCCCGGCGCUUCGGUCUCCGGAGACGCCCGGCCUCCUGAAGGGUUCGGCUUGUCCUCCUCUGGCGCUCAGCUCCCUCUGGCGGCCGGGCUGGCAGGACCUCAGCGCCCAGCCCUUCCUUCUUGUUACGUCCAGGGUCUCACUCUGUGUCUCAGGCUGCAGUACAGUGGUGCAAUUGUAGAUGGCUGCAGCCCUCGACCUCCUGGGCUCAAGUGAUCCUCCUGCCUUAGCCUCUUGAGUAGCUGGGAGUACAGAUGCACACCACCACACCCAGCCUAGAAUGAAGAAACCUGCAGUUGGGAAGCAUGAAUUUACCACCUAUUAAGAAGUAGUCAUCAGGCAUGACCUCCCAUGGGUGCUCACAGGAGAUGGUGCCGUGCAUGUGCAGAACUUCCCAGCCAAGAUCCACCACAUUGGACCCACUGAGAGACACACUGCCUUAUGCCAGGGACCUGGUGGAAAGGUCACCCCCAGAAUGGACAGGCUGGGAAGAGCUCACUUAACAGUGCACUGGUUUACUGAGACAAUUCAAAACACACAUUCAUUUUGUGUGCUUAUGAAAUAUAUCCCAAGAAAAUGGAAACAACUCUGUCCUUGACCUUCAAAAAGAAAUUGACUUGCCUAGCUUAACUAUUCAAACAAACAACUGUGUACUCUCUUCAAUUCCGAUGAUGAUUUUGAUUUACUGUAAAUGACUGAAUUUAAUGAACUAAAUUAUACUAUUUAAAUGCAUUUUGUGAAUGGUAUUGUAGUUUGUUACAAAGCAUUAUGUCCAUGCUAAAUUGUGCUGUAAAUGAUAUGGUAUGGAACAUAUGUGCUGUAUUCAUAAUUUAACUGUUGCUGUGGAUUGCCUUCUUGGAUAGGACACAUUGAAAAAAGGAGCCUUUAUUUACCUGGUGAAAUGAAGGUGAUAUCUCAGCAAAUCACUAGGUCUUACUGACCUUGGCAGAAUUACAGUGCUAAUAUUUUCACAUGGAUGAACUGUUCUUAAACAAUUUCUCUAAUGUAUAUGGCAGAAA
rnacentral:lncRNA from 1 species